rnacentral:rRNA from 1 species
UACGUAGGGUGCAAGCGUUGUCCGGAAUUAUUGGGCGUAAAGAGCUCGUAGGCGGUCUGUCGCGUCUGCUGUGAAAAUCCGGGGCUCAACCCCGGACUUGCAGUGGGUACGGGCAGACUAGAGUGUGGUAGGGGGAGACUGGAAUUCCUGGUGUAGCGGUGGAAUGCGCAGAUAUCAGGAGGAACACCGGUGGCGAAGGCGGGUCUCUGGGCAAUAACUGACGCUGAGGAGCGAAAGCGUGGGGAGCGAACAGG